rnacentral:tRNA from 1 species
GCCGAAAUAGCUCAGUUGAGAGCGCGUUAGACUGAAGAUCUAAAGGUCCCUGGUUCAAUCCCGGGUUUCAACA